AUAAAACACAAAUAUACAAUAACAAUGAAACAUAAUCAUAUUAAGUAGCAUAACAUAUUUACUAUUUCAAAUAAACUAAACAUAAUAAUUUAAUCAAAAAUAUAAACAUGCUUCAUUAUUUUUUGAAGUUGCAUUGCAAAAUGUAAGGAAAGAGAUGUACCUAAAGAGAUGAUGACAAAAUAAUGAUGAAAACAAAACUUAAUUGAAUUCUCAAAGACCACCAAAAGAUGAAAUAUAUAUCUAUUUUUUUUCUUUUAGAAGUUAUGAUUUCCCUCUUUUUUUUUUCUUUUUUUUUUAAAACUUAAAGAUGGGAAAGCCCUUUUAUUAAUGGACCAUUACAUGAAGAGCUGGCCCAAAGAAGACCCGACCCAACACAUAACCAGUCAUUUUAGGAAACAAAAAUAUAAACAAAACAAAACAAAAAGGAAAAGGGAAAGGGGAAAAGGAAAUAGAAUCAGCGCAGCUCCUCCAUCGUCGACGAGCUUAUACCGGCAAGGUCGGCACAACCUCCUCCAUCUUUGACGAGCUCAUUCCAGCAAGCAUCCUCCAGUGACUUGAAACCACAACAUCAGUACAACGAGUUUGGGGUGUAUUUCAUCUCGAACGUUGUCUAGUCUCACCAACAUCAUGAAAUCAUCCCAAUCGGAGACUUCUCCAGCUCAAGGUACUUCAAUCGAGACUUCAAAUCAGCUUUGACAGGUUGAGCCCAACAAGGAGCUAAUACCACUGUCUUGAGCUUCGCUACGAGGUUACUGCAUCCUUCAUAGGGCGCUGCAUUCAUGUAUGCAGGUCCCGACAGACGACCCAGUAGACCUCCUCAGCAGCAGGACUGACUUCUAUCUGGUUAGCUAGCCCCUUUCCUCCGGAGCUGCCAGAGU